AAUGAACGCUGGCGGCAGGCCUAACACAUGCAAGUCGAACGGAGUUAUACUAUAGCUUGCUAUGGUAUAACUUAGUGGCAGACGGGUGAGUAAUGUAUAGGAAUCUACCUAGUAGUACGGAAUAAUUGUUGGAAACGGCAACUAAUACCGUAUACGCCCUACGGGGGAAAAUUUAUUGCUAUUAGAUGAGCCUAUAUUAGAUUAGCUAGUUGGUGGAGUAAUAGCCUACCAAGGCAAUGAUCUAUAGCUGAUCUGAGAGGAUGAUCAGCCACACUGGAACUGAGAUACGGUCCAGACUUCUACGGGAGGCAGCAGUGGGGAAUAUUGGACAAUGGGCGAAAGCCUGAUCCAGCCAUGUCGCACGAGUGAAGAAGGCCUUUG
rnacentral:rRNA from 1 species